AUUACCGAGUUUACAACUCCCAAACCCAAUGUGAACGUUACCAAACUGUUGCCUCGGCGGGAUCUCUGCCCCGGGUGCGUCGCAGCCCCGGACCAAGGCGCCCGCCGGAGGACCAACCAAAACUCUUAUUGUAUACCCCCUCGCGGGUUUUUUUAUAAUCUGAGCCUUCUCGGCGCCUCUCGUAGGCGUUUCGAAAAUGAAUCAAAACUUUCAACAACGGAUCUCUUGGUUCUGGCAUCGAUGAAGAACGCAGCGAAAUGCGAUAAGUAAUGUGAAUUGCAGAAUUCAGUGAAUCAUCGAAUCUUUGAACGCACAUUGCGCCCGCCAGUAUUCUGGCGGGCAUGCCUGUCCGAGCGUCAUUUCAACCCUCGAACCCCUCCGGGGGGUCGGCGUUGGGGAUCGGCCCUCCCUUAGCGGGUGGCCGUCUCCGAAAUACAGUGGCGGUCUCGCCGCAGCCUCUCCUGCGCAGUAGUUUGCACACUCGCAUCGGGAGCGCGGCGCGUCCACAGCCGUUAAACACCCAACUUCUGAAAUGUUGACCUCGGAUCAGGUAGGAAUACCCGCUGAACUUAAGCAUAUCAAUAAGCGGAGGAAAAGAAACCAACAGGGAUUGCCCCAGUAACGGCGAGUGAAGCGGCAACAGCUCAAAUUUGAAAUCUGGUCCCUAGGGCCCGAGUUGUAAUUUGUAGAGGAUGCUUUUGGUGAGGUGCCGCCCGAGUUCCCUGGAACGGGACGCCACAGAGGGUGAGAGCCCCGUCUGGCUGGCCGCCGAGCCUCUGUAAAGCUCCUUCGACGAGUCGAGUAGUUUGGGAAUGCUGCUCAAAAUGGGAGGUAUAUGUCUUCUAAAGCUAAAUAUUGGCCAGAGACCGAUAGCGCACAAGUAGAGUGAUCGAAAGAUGAAAAGCACCUUGAAAAGAGGGUUAAAUAGUACGUGAAAUUGUUGAAAGGGAAGCGCUUGUGACCAGACUUGGGCGCGGCGGAUCAUCCGGGGUUCUCUCCGGUGCACUUCGCCGCGUCUAGGCCAGCAUCAGUUCGUCGCGGGGGAAAAAGGCUUCGGGAACGUGGCUCCUCCGGGAGUGUUAUAGCCCGUUGCAUAAUACC
rnacentral:rRNA from 1 species